GAUGAAGAACGUAGCGAAAUGCGAUACGUAAUGUGAAUUGCAGAAUUCAGUGAAUCAUCGAAUCUUUGAACGCACAUUGCGCCCGCCAGCAUUCUGGCGGGCAUGCCUGUUCGAGCGUCAUUUCAACCCUCGACCUCCCUUUGGGGAAGUCGGCGUUGGGGACCGGCAGCACACCGCCGGCCCUGAAAUGGAGUGGCGGCCCGUCCGCGGCGACCUCUGCGUAGUAAUCCAACUCGCACCGGAACCCCGACGCGGCCACGCCGUAAAACACCCAACUUCUGAACGUUGACCUCGAAUCAGGUAGGACUACCCGCUGAACUUAAGCAUAUCAAUAAGCGGAGGA
rnacentral:misc_RNA from 1 species